rnacentral:rRNA from 1 species
UCUUUAGUGGAUGCCUAGACAGAAGAAAAUCAGGGACGUUAGACGCAACGAAACGCCAUAUGUUAGGUGCGUAAAUCCUAAGAACUAUGGAUUUCCCUAAAGGAAACUUCAAGAUCAAAUUUGACCUAGUGAACUGAAACAUCUAAGUAACUAGAGGAAAAAAAAUCAACCGAGACUCCGUUAGUAGUGGUGAGCGAACACGGAUUAGGCCUUAAUUCUUUUUAAAUCUUACAUAUUGAAGCUGUUUGGAACGACGCGCCAAAGAAGGUGAUAGCCCUGUAAACCUAUGUAGAUGGUGAACAUUUUUUUUGUCAAAAGGAUUAAAACAUGAGUAAAACGAAGACCUCCUUUGUUUGAAUUUGUAAAAGGGGGACCACCCUCUAAGCCUAAGUAAAAUCUUCUGAUCGAUAGUGAACAAGUACCGUGAGGGAAAGGUGAAACAGAUUCCUAAAUAGGGAGUGAAAUAGAUCCUGAAACUGAAUGCUUACAAGCAGUCGACGCUUUUUAAAAAAGUAACGGCGUACCUUUUGCAUAAUGGGUCAGCGAGUAAAUUUAUCAAGCAAGCCUAAACUCUUAAGUGGAGGCGGAGUUAAAGCAAGUUUUAAAUCAACAAAUCAGUUUGUGCAAUUUGACCCGAAACCAAGCGAUCUAAUCAUGAGCAGGUUGAAAAAAUGAUAACACGUUUUGGAGGACCCAACCCACAUCUGUGGCAAUAGAUGGGGACGACUUGUGAUUAUGGGGUGAAAAGCCAAUCGAGCUUGGAAAUAGCUGGUUUUCUGCGAAAUCUAUUGAGGUAGAGCGUAUAGACAUUGGUUGAAAAGGAGGUAGAGCACUCAUUGGGUGAUGGUGGCCCAAAGCCUUACUGAUCCCACGGAAACUCCGAAUGCCUUUUUAAUCCUUAUACAGACAGACUAGAGGCGCUAAGGUCUCUAGUCAAAAGGGAAACAGCCCAGAUCGAACGCUAAGGUUCCAAAGCAAUUUCUGAGUGGUAAAGGGAGUUACUAGGCCUAGACAACCAGGAGGUAGGCUUGGAAGCAGCCAUCCUUUGAAGAAAGCGUAAUAGCUCACUGGUCUUUCCAAAAAAAGCUUUUUGGACUGUCUAGUAGCGCCAAAAAUGUAUCGGAGCUCAAGAAAUUCACCGAAGCGGCGAUUUUCGGUUUGUUGCUUUUGCCUUUAAUGGAAAAAAAAGCAACACACUGAAAAGGUAGCAGAACGUUCUGUAAAUCGUUGAAGUUUCAUUGUUAAAUGGAAUCGAGAAAUCAGAAGUGAGAAUGCUGACAUGAGUAACGAGAAAUCAUGUGAAAAUCAUGAUAGCCGAAAGUCCUAGGUUUUCUACAGACCGUUUCUCGGUGUAGAGUGAAUCGGCCCCUAAGAGAGAAGCGAAUGCUCCGUCUUAAUGGGUACAAUGUGUACCAUUCAUUGAUGUUUCAUUUAGUGACGGCUCGUUCCAAAUUGGUGUCCAAAUUUGGAAUUCAAGAUUUGGAAACAAAUUUGGAAUUCCGGAUUUGGAAACCAAUUUGGAAACAUACCUUACAAGGUCAUGGAUACGGACCGAGAAUUUCUUUGAAACACAGAGAAAUCAAGGUAUAAGUGAGUCCAGGAAAAAACUAAAUGAGUUUUCAGUUGAUUCCAAUUUUGGAAAAAGAUUGAAAACACUUUCUCAAUUUGAAAUCAAAUUGAGAAACACCGUACUACAACCGACACUGGUGGACUGGUUUGACAGACUAAGGCUUAGAGAGAAUCAUGUUGAAGGAACUCGGCAAAUUACCUCCGUAACUUCGGAAUAAGGAGGACAUGGUUUGUUAUUGAUGGAUUCUGUUGAAUUCAAUCAAGACUUCCAUGUGGCACAGAAUAGGGGGUGGCGACUGUUUACUAAAAACACAGGACUCUGCUAAGUGGUAACACGACGUAUAGGGUCUGACACCUGCCCGGUGCUGGAAACUUAACAGGAGGGGUGCGUGGCAAUACAAGCUCUAAAUGAAAGGUCCAGUAAACGGCGGCCGUAACUCUGACGGUCCUAAGGUAGCGAAAUUCCUUGUCGGGUAAGUUCCGACCUGCAUGAAUGGUGUCACGACUUCCCCACUGUCUCCAACAUGAUCUCA